rfam:Oryza barthii chromosome 7, whole genome shotgun sequence.
AUUCCAUGAUGAGGACAGGCGGCCACGUACUCCUGCAGUCAUUCCCACGCCUCGGGAAUAGACUCGUCUCUCGUCUGCUGGAAACUUGAAAUUUUGCCGCGUAGGGC